UACGUAGGUGGCAAGCGUUGUCCGGAUUUAUUGGGUUUAAAGGGUGCGUAGGCGGUUGAUUAAGUCAGUUGUGAAAUACGGCAGCUUAACUGUCGAGGUGCAAUUGAUACUGGUUGACUUGAGUACAGACGAGGUAGGCGGAAUUGACGGUGUAGCGGUGAAAUGCAUAGAUAUCGUCAAGAACACCGAUAGCGAAGGCAGCUUACUAGACUGUAACUGACGCUGAGGCACGAAAGCGUGGGGAUCAAACAGG
rnacentral:rRNA from 1 species